AAUUAUUUAUUUGAUGGUUUCUUACUUUAUGGAUAACCGUAGUAAUUCUAGAGCUAAUACAUGCGUAAAGUCCCGACUCUCGCGGGGAGGGAUGUAUUUAUUAGAUUAAAAACCAAUGCGGCCUUUGGUCGGACUUGUGUUGAUUCAUAGUAACUUUUCGGAUCGCAGGGCUUCACGCCGGCGACAGUUCAUUCAAAUUUCUGCCCUAUCAGCUUUCGACGGUAGUGUAGUGGACUACCGUGGCAUUUACGGGUGACGGAGAAUUAGGGUUCGAUUCCGGAGAGGGAGCCUGAGAAACGGCCACCACA
rnacentral:rRNA from 1 species